GGACCUGUGGUGUAGAGGAUAUCACUUUAGCCUCCGGAGCUUAGAACCCGGGUUCGAUUCCCGGCAGGUCCU
rfam:Methanohalophilus mahii DSM 5219, complete genome.